rnacentral:tRNA from 1 species
AAGUAAUGAAGUAAAGUAUUACGUUUAGUUUCGACCUAAAGAUAAGAAUAAUUAGUUCCAUUACUUA